rnacentral:rRNA from 1 species
AAUUCAUAGGUGAGUGAGAGGCAGACCAGGGGAACUGAAACAUCUAAGUACCCUGAGGAAGAGAAAACAAUAGUGAUUCCGUCAGUAGCGGCGAGCGAACGCGGAUUAGCCCAAACCGAGGAGCUUGCUCCUUGGGGUUGUGGGACGUCUCACAUGGAGUUACAAAGGAACCGGUUAGAUGAAGAGGUCUGGAAAGGCCCGCCAGAGAAGGUAAAAGCCCUGUAGUUCAAAACUUGUCCCCUCCGAGACGGAUCCCGAGUAGUGCGGGGCACGUGAAACCCCGUAUGAAUCCGGCAGGACCAUCUGCCAAGGCUAAAUACUCCCUGGCGACCGAUAGUGAAGCAGUACCGUGAGGGAAAGGUGAAAAGCACCCCGGAAGGGGAGUGAAAUAGAUCCUGAAACCGUGUGCUUACAAGAAGUCAGAGCCCAAUUUAGGGGUGAUGGCGUGCCUUUUGUAGAAUGAACCGGCGAGUUACGUUCCCGUGCAAGGUUAAGGUGAAGAGCUGAAGCCGCAGCGAAAGCGAGUCUGAAUAGGGCGAAUGAGUACGUGGACGUAGACCCGAAACCGGGUGAUCUACCCCUGUCCAGGGUGAAGGUGCGGUAACACGCACUGGAGGCCCGAACCCACGCAUGUUGAAAAAUGCGGGGAUGAGGUGGGGGUAGCGGAGAAAUUCCAAUCGAACCCGGAGAUAGCUGGUUCUCCCCGAAAUAGCUUUAGGGCUAGCCUCGGAAA